ACUUGGAAGUGAAGAUGACUUACUAAGGAGUGCCACCUUGGUCAGAAGACCUAGUGCCGUUGCUGUAUCAUCAUGGCUGGGCUGCCGAGGAAGAAUGACAUCUGGGGCAGAUCCUGAAGGCGUCGACAGCUGGAAGCUCUCGGGGAACUGCAUUUCUUGAAGCUGAAUGGCAGAUUCUUUAGAGAGAUCUCAGAGGUCCCUGAACUUUGGCCACAAUCUCACCUGAGCCAGUAGACAGCAUCUCCUGAGAACAGGAAGACCUCUGAUCUGCCAUCUCAUUACACCAUCUUUUCAUCCCUUUUCCCUAAUUCUAGAAAGCUCAGUUCCUUCUAGUAUUCCUAUAAAAGAAAAUAUUUUGAAAAGACUCUUGAGACACUUGGAAGACCUUAUGCAGGAUCUGGGUGUUCUUCACUGCAGUAGGUCCCCCUGCCCUAUUUCAAUAUGUUCCCCUUUUCCCUUGAAGAAUCCUUCUGAAUACAGUCUCUCCUUACUAA